rnacentral:lncRNA from 1 species
AGAAUCGAGAGGUAGAAGGAUAUUUGGGAAAGAAAAAGGGAGAGAGAAGAUGGCGGCCAAUCAAGGUGAUUGAAGGAAAUUGUCUAAUCUCAUAGUUCUCCAGUUCUUCUUCUAUUUCAAUAGGUAAAAAGGAAUUAGUGUUUAAAGUUAAGCAUUUUAUAGAGAUUAGUUUGUUUUAAGACUUUAUUUAUUUUAGUGUUAGUUGAGGUGUGAUUUUUGGUUUUUCAUCCAUACUCGAAUUUCAAGAAUUAGAAAGUUAGUGGAAUUUGGGUUGAAAGUGUGAGAAACGAGAAUUAAAUGGGCAAGGGGGUUUGAUGUUAUUGACUUUAAUCAUUAAUUAAGUGUUCAUAAUUUCCCAAUUACUUGAACAAUAUGGGUUUAUAUUAGUGUAAGGAGGAAUUUUCGUUUUAGACAUCUAGAUGGGAGGACUUUUAGAUGAACAAGUAGCUGUUUGGGUACCAUCAAGAAAGAAUUUUGGACUUUUCUUUUAGGCUUCUUUUCAGCUUGAACCAGGCUUUAAGAUGGGUUUUGGUUUCAAUCAAGCGAAUAUGAAACUUACUGAAAUAUAUAGGUGUUUUCGUGGAUUGGAAGUGAAAUAAAGGAACAAGUUUGGAGUUUAUAGAAGCUGUCCAAUUAUUUAUGUUAUAUAUUUUUAGACAAGGAAGAACUAGAGAAGAAAUAAAAAAUAAGAGAUAAAGGAAUACAAUUAAGAUGAGUAUUUGGGAAUCCGUAACCAAUUUGAAUUAAUAAAAGUUUAUUGUUAUUUCAGGAUUGAGGCAGUGAGGAUAUUCGAAAGGCAAAAUGUCUAAAUUAGCUUGAAGCCUAUAAUUCGGUGAGUGGAAAAAUAUAAAUAUUUUUAAAGUAUUUAUAAAUUAAGUUUAUUGUUAAAGUAUGUGCAAUUAUGUGUUCAAAUUACAUGGUUUUUAUGAAAAUAUCUUUUAUUAUGAUACAUGUGAGAUUUCAAAGAUUAUAUACGUUACAUUGUGAAUUGGAAUAUGAGAUAUGAUUUUGAGAUCGAUCAGAAAAGUACCCGUGAUUAUAUAUUUCUUCUAGUUCACUGAGGGGCCUUGGUCAUGUUCUAUAUUACACUGAGGGGUCAUGGACCGGGAAUGAAGGGGUCUCGACCGUAUACAUAUAGUUCAUUGAGGGGCCUUGGCCGUGUUCUAGAAUUGAUUUUGAGAGGUCUUUAAGACCGGCUUUCGUUCACGGAGGGGCCAAAGGCCCAUGGCGAAAGUUCUUAGCCCGAGGGGCGGAUUACAUAUUUCAGUCAGAGGGUACAUUUUUGAUGGAUUUUUCAGCACGUUUGAUAUGAUGAGAUUAUAACAUGGUUAUCAGCUGAUGUUAUAUCAUGAUUUUAACAUGAUAUUUUUAUGACAUUAUGUGAAUAUUUCACUUUUUGGCUAUAAUUACAUGAUGAUAGCUUGUGAAUUAUCAAAUGGUAUGAAUUUGAUUUUCAAUAAAAAUGUAUAAAUGAAAAAGAAUAUUUAUUUUGAACUUCUCCACUCACUGAACUAUCAAUUCAUAUAUUUUUCCACGAUUUUUUCUACAGGUGAAAAUUAAUCAUUCUUAGCUGGAAAAGCCUAAUGAUUUCGAAAUGAGAGCCACACGACAUGUUGAGCGUUAUAACUCAUUUUGAUGAAGCACAAAGUAAAUAUUUUGGGCCCAUCGCAUUAUAUUUUACAUAAGCAAUUGAUUUUGUUGCAUCUUUUUGAAAUAACUCAUAGUCAGUCUUGGUGGUAGAUUUGACAUCUAGUUAGCAUCUAUCAUCGGCGCACGUUACGUUUCGGGUCCACUAGGGUGAUUCGGGACGGGUCGUGUCAGGGGAAUUGCGCCAACUUCGAUUGGUAUUUGCUUUAUUUUGCACUGGGCGAGAACCACCAAAAUGUGCCUGCAUGGCUUGAUUCUUUUCUUCAAUGCAUUGGGCCAGCUCCAUGAUUUGCUCCAACCCCCUGGGCUUCAACACACGGAUCUCGGUCUUAAUUUCUGGAGAUAGCCUAUUGAUGAAAUGGCCCUCCAAUAUGGCCUCUGAGAUCUACCCAAUUGGUGCUGCUAAUGUCUCAAAGGCAACCCGAUACUCCAUGACCGACCCUUCUUGUCGGAGAGCUAGGAAGCGCUCCUCCAUGGUGCCUUCCAGCGUCGAUAUGAACCUCGCUCGUAGUAAGAACUUUAGUGUUUCCCAAUUUUUUACCCCCUUUCUUCUUUGCUCCCAUUGGUACCAGGCGAGUACAUCCCCUUCAAAACAUAGUAUUGCCGACUCCAAUUUCUCCCCUUCUGUCAAUUGAUUCACCCCGAAAUCCUGUUCGACUUCGAAGAUCCAGUCAUCUAGAUUUUGUCCAGAAAAAUAGGCAUCUCUAGCCUUCUCCCCUUAAGUUUUGGUUUCCAGUGGUCUCCCGACCCUCCAGAAACGACACGACAGCUUGUUUUUACGCCUUAGGAACCUUCCAAAGGCAAGUCAUACUCCAAUUCCUUCCCUCGUUCUUCCUCUUUGCUCUCUCUCUCUCUCCCCUUCUUCCCAUUUUGUUCUUAUGAAGGUGAACUGCUCCAGGAUCAUUUCCAUAUUUUUCUCAAUAUUCCGCACCCUUUGCAUUUCCACCUGCAUCCUAUCAAACCCAUUUUACAUCUUUUCCAUCUGUCCAUGCAAUUUCUGGUGACGCCUUCCAAUUCCCCCACACGAUCCGAUAAAUUCAUUAUCUCGUUCGCAACGGCUCUGAUACCAAUGAUAGAUCGAAAACAUAAUAGGAGUUUUAUUAUGAGAAUUUAACCACUAAAUAGUGAUUACAAGAGGAACGAACCUGCGAUCAGGGAAACAGAUUCUUUAUUCAAAAAAAUGGAAAAAAAAUAACAAGAUUAAUGGACAUUCGAGAGGCCCACACUCUCCUAAGGAAUCUCCCAAUUUCUGGAUGCUGGUAACGUGAUUAUUGCCCUUAUUUAUACUGCAAUUGGUGCUGUAAUUAUGUAAUUGGUAACUGCAAUUGGUGCUAUAAUUAUGCAAUUGUUCCUGUAAUUGUGCCAAUUCCCCUUGAUCCUUGCUUGCGCCUUUGGUAUGUUGUGUGGAUUGAGGGUCUAUCACACAUACACUAAACGACGUCAUUUUUAACUCAAGGAAAAAAGAAAUAAAAAGGAAAACUAGAUGGGGCAGCGGUAGCUACUGACCAAUUUAUUGGCUCUUAUAAUAUAAGUUAGGUAAAUAAUACUAAUGUAUUGAUGUAUUGCACGUGCGUGCACGUAUGUUGCCCGUAAUUAUUGUUAUAUGGAUGUUAAAUUAAAUGUUUUUUACCAUUUCUAAAAUCCAAUAAAUAUUGUGAAAAUAUAUUCUAAAAUUAUAUUACUGAGGUCGAUGAGCUUUUCACCAUAUUUGCAUGGUCUCGCGGGUGAAUUAUAUUUGCAAUAUUGGUUAAUUAGACUUUUAGUUUUUAUUAACGCGAUUAGUUUAUAUUUAUGUGUAAAAUAAUAGUGUACAAGAGUUACGUAUCAUUAAAAAUAUGGAGAGGUACUAGAAUGGAAUUGGGGUAAUUAGCACAAAACAUCACUUCAUUGCACGUAUGGUGUACUGGUUUUGAAGAUCUGGAAUACUGAAUUUAGCAGGGUUUCAUUUGAGAGUGCAAAGAACCAUUUUCGAAUUGUUUCUCACUGGCCGAGUUAGAAGUUUAUUAAGGGGCCUCCAAGUUCAUGGUUCCUGAUGGACCUCCAGGUCUAUAAAAUUGUUGAUGAAAAACCAUAGGGCAUGAGGUACCAAGGACAUAUUUUUUGCUUAUCCGUGCCAAAAAAGAAUCUCGAAUAACACGUGAAGCACCUGUCUACGAUUUAGAUUUUUGUGGUCUUGCCCUGCUUUCUCACUCCAGACAUAGCCACAUUUGAUCUCCAAAAUCAUGUAGUCUUGUCAGAAAUACCUCAAUGAAGUAGGGAAGAAAAUUAUUAAAGACAAAUGUGAUGAGUCUAAUAUUGCAUCCUACCUUAAACGUUUUCUUAUUAGUUUAGUGACCUUGGUAUUUAUAGAAUAAAUGAAUCCAAACUAUUGUAAAAUAAACUCAUUGAUCAGUAAAGAGGUUUCAUUUUCACUUCAAGUUUUCAUUUAUUUAUACUUCUCCAACAAAAGUAAAUUUAAAGUAGGUAAAAACACAUGAAUUUUCAGAAAAGUUAAGCUUUACCAUUUGAAGAAGAUACAUGCUUCAUUGAGAUUUCACAAGAGCUACAAACAUCAGACAACAACCAAUAAGAUCCUUAGAAUGAUGCUGUCGAAACAAUGAACUAUUUAGUAAACUCUGAUUCUCUUCGUUGUUGAACCUGGGGUGGUGAUUGCAGGGAGAAAAGGGUUUAUUGCCAAAUUUUUUUUCACCCACAUCGAAAGAAAAUAUUCCCGGAUCCAUCAGCAAUUGCAUUGCUCGAAUUGUACAUAAUUAAUAAUGAUUCUUUAUUUCUGUAACUUGAAUAUUUUAUGAUUUUGAACUCUUAUAUCUACUUCUAGAAAUACCGUGAAAGGAUGCAUGGACUUCCACCUAACAUAAAAAUAUACCAUUCAAAAUGUCAUCGAAUUUGAAUUCAACUCAAAAAAAUAGAUUGCGAGUAGGAAUUGUACAAAAGUUAUAAGUUUUUGAAAUCAGGACGGGCAAGCCGAUUUCUGUAGCGCACAUGCACGUUCGGCUGGUGGUUUCACACACUAUCAUCCUCGACUGAACUCUGAUCUGCACAUAUUUCCUGUGCAUGCACGCACUGGGUUGCGUUCGUACAUGCCAAAGGUCAUGUAUUUAAACGUGAUUUUGGUUAUGGAAAAUUUUUCCAUGGGAUUUUAACACUCCUACCCUAGGCCUAUAUGUAUGAGACUUUGGUGACACAAAAUGGGGCCCCAACUGAUACAUAUUGAUUCCUAAACCUAGAACCACAAAAACAAAGCCCUUCAUUCAUCCAUCACAGGAGAAAUCAAGCAGAGGUCCCAAGAAGUUCAUAAAGAUCACGACUUCAAGUUUUUCAGAUUGCUUUGAGUCAAAGAUAAAGUUUGAAAAGAUUUGUUCAUCCUCUUUUUCAUAGAAUAAAAAUGUUACGUCUAUAACAAUUUCUUCAUCCAUUGUAUUGAUUUGUUCGGUGUGUUUCUUUGCUGAUUUGUUUUUUAGGAGUAAACCAG